UCGUCGCCACCGCCUCCCCCGCUCCUCCCCCCUCCCCGAACCCAGCCGAACCACAGCCUUGGCCGGAGAGGCGCCGGAGCCCCCAGACGAAGCGACGCGAGCGCCUUCCCGACUCCUCCGGCAUUCCGGAGGAGCAUCCGAAAUGCAUUCGCCUCGGUCUCGAUCGGUCGAAUCGACGAGCCGCGAUUCUCCCCCAGCUGUAAUGCCUUUGCUCCGAUCCCCUCUCCCCUCCUGCAGUUCUCUUGCUUCCGCGAGAUUCUCUGGUGGAGUUCGGGCGCGGUUGGGAUCGGUUGGUGCUGUGGCGAUUCGGUACCUCUGCGGUGUCGAACGUUGGACGUCAAGUAUGUGAGGUCAGCAGGUAGAGUGACCUGGGGGCUGGGGCGAUUUGCUAGUUGCCAGAUGGUGCUAUUGGAGUAUGCAUUGUCAGAACACUGAAGUGUGCUGUACCCGCACGUUGGUCGAUCGAUGCUUCCUCUGAUCAGAUUGGCUCUCCGUGUGAUCACGUUGAAGUAUAAUGCAGCAACUGGUGGUCCAAGAUUGUAAAUUGCUGAGAAGUCUCUGAUGUUGAAAUUUUGGCGCCAUCCUGGUGGAUAAACUGUUUGCCGUGCUUGCUGUUUGAACAGCACAAAAACAAUCCGAUGAAUUCCAGCUGGUGGCCUUGGGCUUUCAUAUGGAACUAUUUCUGUGCCUGAAAAAGUGUGUAUUCCUUAUUAGAAUUGCUUUGCUGUGAUCGUUAAUCUUUUGGCAUUACUGACUGUUCUAAUUGUUUUUCACUGCCUGCUCCUCAGCAUUGUGAUAUAGACAUUUUUUCUGCAGUUCAGUGACAUCACUCCUGACCCUUACCUCCAUUGCUACUCACUAUAAAUUUAGUCAAGAUUUACAAUAGCUUAUGCUGUAUAGAUCCUCAACUAAAGUAAAUAUCAAAGUUGAAUAUGUGCAGGUUGAAUGUUCCCAUUAUUAAGUGUGAAUCAUAACAUUAGCAAAUGCAUGAGGUCUAGCAUGAUUUUUUUCUUAAGAACGGAGGGCUAGUAUGAUUAUGAUAUGCUAGUUUUGUUCCAUUUGUUCAAAAUUCUUAGAAUUCUGUUUGCCACUUGAAAUUUACUUGCAGACUUGAUUGGUUACUAGAGAAGUUUGUCUAUCUGCUAGCCUAAGCAAAACAGAACUUGGUAAGCCAAUCAGAGGAUUGGGCUGCUAUAUUGUGCAUGCACUACUAAAGAUAUCUUUAUAACUCUGCUAAUACUGCCUGACUUAGAAGAAGUCCGCGAUGCAAUUUUCCACCACUGUCCAAGUCACGGUACUAGUGUUUUGUGAUAACUCAUAACCAUAACUAUGCUUUGUCUCGUCAUGCUAAAAUAUAGUACUUGUAUAUUUGGCAGCUUCUUGAGAUGGACCACUAAACCAGAAAACAAUGUGGCAACUUUAUAGCCUCGUGUUUCCUCUAAACACUAAGCUUAUUCCAGUAUUUCGUUUUCAUCUGGAAAUGGAAGUUAUAAUAUUUAAAAAACUGAAGGAUGUCUCACAGAUUUAAUAUAGAGCUGUAUCCUGUUUUCUGUGGGCCCACAUAGAUGAUACCAUUGAGCAUUCUAUAUUGUCAAGCAGUGAAGCAGGUAACAGUGCCCAUCUACUUGAUUUCCUGUAGAAGUCUCACCACACUGACUAAUGUGAUCAAGUGAGACCCACAGAAAGUUACAUGAUGUCAAAUACUCAACUUGAGGUGCUGUUGGGCAGAUAACAACCAUCCAACUGCUUAACCUGCAUCAAAAUAGGUGCAGCCACAUAUUAGAGCGGGGCCCAUCCCCCUGCUCUCUAAGGUGCUUCAUUUGAUUCACAGAGCACCUAUCAGCCUCCAGAUGGCCUAGUUGUAGUUGAAGCUGUAGGAUCUUUGUGAAUGAUAUCUAUGGUCAAUUUUUCAUGCAUAUAUUCUCCAAAGAUCUGGAGGCAUGUUUAAAGCUCCAAGAGUUAGCCUCCCCUGCAUGGUGCCUUGCCUGGGCUUGGCCAAAGGUUCACGAUGAGUCAUUUCAUGUUCAACCAUACUUCUCUGAGUGGUGAGCACAUAGCUGGAGAAAGAUUCUUUGGAUCAACAUCACAAUGCAACAGUACAAAACCUGGGGAGGUAGAGGCAAGUCAUGAGCAAUCUUCUUUCUUCUCUAUUUGCCUUUCCUUGAUGGCAAUAGGGGUAUCAAUUACUUCACCCUUGAAAGAAAACUAUUCCCUGGACCUGUUCUACAUGACCCUAGUUCAUGUGCUUAUCUCCCAUAGUUCCCAUACAUGUGAGCCGAGUAGUUAGUGUUUUUUCUAUUGUGUGUGUAUACUUUCACCAUUCACCUAUUGAAGCUUCCCAUAGAAUGAUUUAUACAUGGCAAAUUACAGUUGCAAAUUUUACCACAGCAUGCUUAUUAAAAAAACUACAGAGAAUUGGCGGUUAAUUUCUACCCGACUUUUCUUGUUCUUUCUCAGUUUCGGAUUUCCAUUUACAUCUUCUAAUGUCUAUUUCCAUUUUUAUACCGUCAUCAUGUGUUCAGUGUAGCUACAUUUUUUCUUGUUCACAGAAUACAGCUGUUUGCCUGUACAGGAUUAUUCGGACCAAACGGGAACCAGAGAAGCAUCUCCAGGCCUAAGUCGUAGCAUCAAUGUCUUGAUAUCAUCAGAUGGCCUUUUUCCAGAUUCCUCAUGGCAUUUAAAAUCUCAUCGCAAGAAGAAAUUGCACCUUUGAUGGCGCGAAUGGGCAUUUAGAAUGUCCAAGAACUGGAGGAUAGAGUCAUAUCAUACUGUGGAGUUUGCAUUCAAGUUGUUCAAGCCAGAACACCACAUGCUACCUUAGCUCUCCACAUAUGCGUCAAUAUCUGCAUUCAAGUUGACUUUUUUUCUUUCAGCAGGGAAUAAAAGGUACAGUCUUGCAGAUCAGAUGGGCAUCUCUACCAGGACGUAGCAAGCAGAAAGGCUGAAGAUCGGCCUUGAAUUUUUGAAAGCUCUUGCAUGACAAUUGCAAAGGGGGGAAAGGCGCUAGGGAAUUUCCCUGCACUGCAAACUGCCUACACCAAGCAUCUGUGGAUGAAGUGAACUCUGGCCGUGCCAACCGUUGGUGCUGCCUCUGCUCUCUCCAGACUGUUCGCAAGCCAACUGGAAAUAGUACUAAAGUUGGAUCACUUUCAGGCGAGAGCUGAAUCUAUUCUACUAUAGGGCAAUCUUAUCAUUUUGAAAAUCCGCAUCAAAAGAUGCUAGAUAAAGCUUACACAACACUCCUUUUUUUGCAAGGACUAUUUUUUCUUUUAGAGUGUGAUCAAUAAUAACCUCAUGUCAUGUCAUUUAAAGACAACACAAAAAGCUAUUGCUAAAUUAAGGAGGAAGUGUAUGCGUGGACUAUGGUGACAGUAGUUUCAUGUGUUUCGGGCUUGUUUUGCCUUUUUAAUUUUAUUUGUAUUGUCCUAUCUAGAGUUGAUUUCCUUCUUUUUAAUAUAAUAGAUAGUUCUCUUGUCA